rnacentral:rRNA from 1 species
GACGAACGCUGGCGGCGUGCUUAACACAUGCAAGUCGAACGAUGAACCUCGAAAUGCUUUCUUCGGAAAGAUUUUUGAGAGGAUUAGUGGCGAACGGGUGAGUAACGCGUGAGCAACCUGCCUUAGACAAGGGGAUAGCCUCGGGAAACCGUGAUUAAUACCCUAUGAGACUCCACUUACGAGUGUAAGAGAAGUUAAAGCUAUUACGGUCUAAGAAGGGCUCGCGUCUGAUUCGCUAGUGGGUGAGAUAAAAGCCCACCAAGGCGAGGAUCAGUAACCGGCAUGAGAGAGUGAACGGUGACAUUGGAACUGAGACACGGUCCAAACUCCUACGGGAGGCAGCAGUGGGGAAUAUUGCACAAUGGGGGCAGCCCUGAUGCAGCGACGCCGCGUGAGCGAUGAAGGAAUUCGUUUCGUAAAGCUCUGUCCUAGGAGAAGAUAAUGACGGUAACCAAGGAGGAAGCACCGGCUAAAUACGUG